rnacentral:rRNA from 1 species
GACGAACGCUGGCGGCGUGCUUAAUACAUGCAAGUCGAACGGAGAGGCCCUGCCUUUGUUGUGUGCACGAGUGGCGAACGGGUGAGUAACACGUGAGUAACCUGCCCUUUACUUUGGGAUAACUUCUGGAAACUAGGGCUAAUACCGCAUAGUAGCACCUGCUGCAUGACGUUUGUUGGAAAGUUUCGGUGGCUGCGGUAGGACUCGCGGCUUCUCAGCUUUAUGGUGAGGUAGUGGAUUCCCAUCGCCUUGACGGGUAGCCGGCCUGGGAGGGUGACCGGGCACAUAGGGCCUGAGGUAGGGGCCGGAGUGCAACGGGAGGCAGGAGUGGAAGACAUUGCGCAAUGGGCGGAGGCAGUAUGGAGCAACUCCGGGUGCGAAAUGACGGCUUUCGGGUUGUAAACCGCUUGCGAGUGGAACGAAGAGAGAGUGACGGUAAUUUGUAAGAAAGCAACGGCUAACUACGUG